GCGCGAGUGGCGGAAUCGGUAGACGCGCUAGCUUCAGGAGCUAGUGUACAUUUGUACGUGGAGGUUCAAGUCCUCUCUCGCGCACCA
rnacentral:tRNA from 1 species